rnacentral:tRNA from 1 species
GCGGACGUGGCGAAAUUGGCAGACGCGCAAGUUUCAGGUUCUUGUGGGCAACCAUGGGGGUUCAAGUCCCUUCGUCCGCACCA